CCUACGGGUGGCAGCAGUGGGGAAUAUUGCGCAAUGGGCGAAAGCCUGACGCAGCGACGCCGCGUGAGGGAUGAAGGUCUUCGGAUCGUAAACCUCUGUCAGCAGGGAAGAACGGUCACUGUGCUAAUCAGCAGUGAAUUGACGGUACCUGCAAAGGAAGCACCGGCUAACUCCGUGCCAGCAGCCGCGGUAAUACGGAGGGUGCGGGCGUUAAUCGGAAUUACUGGGCGUAAAGCGCUCGUAGGCGGUAUGUCAAGUCAAGGGUGAAAUCCCCGCGCUCAACGUGGGAACUGCCUUUGAAACUGGCAAACUGGAGUGUGUGAGAGGAUAGUGGAAUGCCAGGUGUAGGAGUGAAAUGCGUAGAUAUCGGGAGGAACAUCAGUGGCGAAGGCGACUAUCUGGCACAUAACUGACGCUGAGGAGCGAAAGCGUGGGUAGCAAACAGGAUUAGAUACCCGAGUAGUC
rnacentral:rRNA from 1 species